UUUUUCUAGGAUAAUGCAUCAUUUGAUCCAUCAAGACUCUUUGGUUGGCAAACAACUAACAAUAUUAAAAAUGAAGAUGCUAUGACUGAACUACCUCAUUUUUCAUUAUCAAAUUUAGUUGAAACAUAUGGAUAUAAGAAAAAACUUACUUUUCAUUAUUAUUUAUUAAAUGGUAGGCCAAGCUAUGCUUAUGCAAAAUUCAUUGUUAAAGAAAUUGCAAUGGCUGGAACAAUUACUGUUAGAAGAACUUCAGCAGCAUGUAAAGAAGCUUUAUUACUUGCUAUUAGAAAUUAUAGUAUAACAAAAAUUACUUCAGCCUGUAUACUAUUUACUGAAAUGUUGGGCCAUGAUUCAUUAAAACUAAGAACUUAUAUUCAGAUUGCAUUAAUUGUUCAUAAAGCGAGAAAUUCAGAUAAAGACAUUGUGGAUUCUGAAAUAGUAACUCUUUUGGAAAUUUCUCUUGAUAAUAAAAAUGCUGCCCAAGAAUUUUUAUCGAUAUUGGUACCAGCUGUGCAAAGAGAAAUUAAUUUAAUUGGAAGAAACAAAAAUUCUGCUGCUGAAAUAAUGUGGUGGAUUCCAGUUGUAGCAUUUUGUCAAAUUCAUCAACUUGAAUAUGUUACAAUAUAUAUGAAAGAAAGAGCUCAAGCUGGUGAUUGGUUAAAGUUUUUAAUAUUUGCCCAGCUGUUUCAAAUUCCUCCAGUACUGGUUCUGAAGCUAUUAAGUGAAUUUAGUAACAAAUAUCUAGUUGAUCAUCUUUCUGGUGCUUUUCAACAAAGACAUUCACUUUUGGUGUUUGUUGAUAAUGAAAAUGUAUCAUCAUGUGUUCGAAGUAUGAAAAUCAAACAGACAAGUAAAGAAUUUCGAGAAACUUUAUACACUCGUAUUGGAGUUACAAAAGAUGCAAAAGUAGCAAGUUCAGGUUCUGCAACAGAGAUUUCAAGUGAUGAUGACACAAGUUCAUUGUGCAGUGAAGACACAGUUUCAAGUAAUGAUUUGGUAUUACUCUGUGAUGAUUUAUGGGGACAAAUAUUAAUAUGUCAUAAUAGUGAUAGUCCAUGGAGAUCAUUAUUACAAGCAAGCUGUUUACAUUGUAAUCCUAUUUUUGCUGUGAUUGCAGCAUCUUAUGAAGGUGCUUGUAUUAUACAAUGUUUAGCCACAUGGUUAUACAUUUCAAUAGAAGAAUCAGAAUCUAAUGAAGGAUCAUUGGAGAAAACUAUUGAUGAUUUAGAAAAUAUAAUGACCAUUGCAAUAAAAAAAGGAAAAAUCAUAUUACUGCAAAAAGGACUUUUAUUGUUUUUACCAGAUUCACUUUUAUUAUUGCUUAUAAAUUAUUUAGUAACUUUUAUGGUUAAUAAACAAUAUGAAUCAAGCACUGAGUAUUUGAGAGAAUUUCAAAGACAUUUUUGGAACUUUUCAGAUGAAAAAAAUGAAACAAAUAUUUUAAAUGAAGUCAAAUGGAUAGAAAAAAUGAGUGUUAAGCUUUUAACUUCUUCCAUUAUUUCCUGUGAAACUAUAUACGAGAAAAUAUUGAUGUCUGGUCAUUUUUAUUUUGCUAAAAUACAGAACAUGUUUCCUACUGUUGAAAAUGUACCAGACUUCAAUAAAUUAUAUAAACUACUUCAGUAUGUUGGAGAUCUUGAUAUAGAUAUUAAUCUAGAGGAUAUUUUAGAUGAUGAGCAAAGUGAAAAGUAUAAAGAAUCAUGCACUUCUAUUAUAGAGAAAUUGCAACAACAGCAGCAAAAUAAUGAUGCUUAUAUGUUUGCUAAAAUUGCCAAACUACCACUGGAUGAAAUACUUCUAUGUCAGAUCUCAAAUGAGACAAAAAAAAUAAAGAAAUUAUUGGAUUGGAAUGAUCUAAAGAAAAGAAUUCAAUACUGGAAACAAUGUGCUAAUGUUUUUAAAAUUGGAAAUAUUAAGCCUGAAAUACCUGCUUAUUUCUUUAAGGAAGAAUGUGAUUUGGCAGAUUCCUAUGUUGAAAAGUAUAUUUUAAUAAAGUUAGCAACUGAUUGGUUUAUGAAAGCACCAUCACUUUCUGAAGACAUUUUCAAAGUGCUAAAUGAAUGGGAUGUAAAUUUAUGGCUGUAUUGCAUUAAAGGAAUAGUGGAAAUGAAAAAAUUGAAUUUAGAAGAUUUAAUAGUCUCAGAAAUUGAAAGAAAUUGUGAAGACUUUUUUGAUUGUCAUCAGGAAAAUUUAAAUACAUCAUAUUUUCCUCUAAAACUGGAAACUGAUGAGGAAAUACUGAUUUUAGAACAAAUAAUUGGAAAAUUAUUGAAUGCAGGAAAUUUAAAACAAGCUCAAAAACUUAAUAAUCUAUUUUUCCAUAAAAGUAAGGAUGUUAACAUUGUAAAAAUAUGUUUGAACCUUGCGCAGGAAAUUAUUCUUCCAACUAAUCCAGAAGUUGUCUCAUUGAUAUCAGAAAUUGAACAAUCAAUGUAUUUUCCUCAAAAUAAAAUUUUUGGAGAAGGAGAUUUAGCAUCACACAUUUCUUCUCAUCAGAAUGAAGUUAUAAAUACCAUCAGAAAGUUAGGUGCAAUAUCUAAAGAUGCAACAUUAGCUUGUAAAAGAAUAUUAAUAUAUUAUUCUGUUGCAAAGAUUCUUGAUCAAACUUAUGAUGAUAUAAAAAGUCAGUCAAAAUCAUUUUCAUUGAUUAAAACUAUAUUAACCUGUUCAUAUCCUGAAAAAUAUGCCUUAGCAAAAGAUUUAUUAAUUGCAAAUUCAGUAAGCAAUGAUGAGAUCACAGAAUUCCUUAGUGAAGAAGUGAUGUCAUGUUUACAAAUAUAUACAGGAAUUGCAGAAUUUUCAAUACCCCAGAGUAAUAAUGAAUUGAUAUUUAAUCCCAGUAAUACCAAAAGUUUUCAACAAUUACUACAUUUAUGUGAUGAUCCUUCUUUACUGGGAACAAGACUUCUGAAUAUCAUUGACAGAGAAAUGGAAAAGAAAGUGAAUGUCUGGACAAAAUCAAAUCUGAGUUUGGUGGUGGAACUCUAUAUUAGAUCCCAUGAUUGUUUCAGUGCCACUUGUAAUAUGGAAGGAAUUUCAAAAGUACUUCAUAGAGCUAGAAAUUUGGCAAGAAACUUAACAGAUAGUCAAGAAUUUCAAUUAUUGGUACGGCUGUUAACAGGAAUUGGAAGAUAUAGUGAAAUGACUUAUAUUUUUGAUAUUCUUAGAGAAAGCAGACAAUUUGAACUUCUAUUUCGUAAGGGUAUGGAAAAGGUUCCAAAUCUUCGACUUGCCUUAUUAGAUUAUUUAAAACGUUGUCAGACAGUAGAUUCAGAUGUAUAUUCAAUGUUGGCUUUGAACUUCAGCAUGUUUCGAGAGAUUGCAGAGAUACUGGAAAAAUCUGCAAGAGAUUCUGUUAUAAAAAUAAGAAAGAAGAAAACUGGUAAUGCAAAUGUCAAAGAUGAUUUGGUAACUACAAUGCAUGAAUUUGCUGAUGCAGCAGAGAGUUUUUGCAAGUUUAUUUAUUUUAGGCAGAUUGUUUGUUUCAUGCCGAAGAAUGUAUUUUGCAAGCAAAACUUGUAGCUUUGCAAAUUCAUUUGCUUCCUAGUGGAAUAUGGAUCAUUGGAUUGAUAGAUAAAGAAGUCAGCAAAUUUAUUGAAGAACAUAAUAAAUUUUGUGAGGCCUAUAUAGUAUCUCAGGCAUAUAAAGAUCAUCAUUCAUGGGCUCCAGCUCUAUUUAGGCAAGUUAUAGAAAAAGGAAAUUGGGAAUAUUUUUCAGAAUUUGAGAAAAAUAUUGGUUUGACUUCUAUUUUAAUUGAAGA
rnacentral:misc_RNA from 1 species